rnacentral:rRNA from 1 species
GUAGGGAGCAAGCGUUGUCCGGAUUUACUGGGUGUAAAGGGUGCGUAGGCGGCUUUAUAAGUCAGAAGUGAAAUCCAUGGGCUUAACCCAUGAACUGCUUUUGAAACUGUAGAGCUUGAGUGGAGUAGAGGUAGGCGGAAUUCCCGGUGUAGCGGUGAAAUGCGUAGAGAUCGGGAGGAACACCAGUGGCGAAGGCGGCCUACUGGGCUUUAACUGACGCUGAGGCACGAAAGCGUGGGUAGCAAA